rnacentral:hammerhead_ribozyme from 1 species
AUCAGGAUGACGAGUCCCAAACGGGGCGAAAUGUGCAUCUGUGAU